UCAACAAACGAGCCGCACAAAAGUUCUCUGAAAAUAGAUGCAGCCCAAAAUUGGUUUCCCAAAAAUAAAGCGGUGAUUUUUUUCAUUUUCCCGCUCCUGCUUCGCCAUCGCCGCCCCUGCUUCUACCAUCGCCAUCACCGCCCCUGCUUCUUCCAGCGCCGCUUCUGAGAUGAAGAACGUAGUCUCAAGGUUAUUCCAUAUUGAUUCGUCCCCCAUCCACCCACACAAUCAGAAGCUUCUAGUUGCCCUAAUUUGAAGAAAUCGUUCAACGAUUCUGCUUAAUUCAAGUUUCCAAGUUAAUACACUUUCUACAUGUGAUUCAAUUUUUGUUUCAAUUUAUUUUCGAUUUAAAAUUCAAGUUCAUAGGGUCGAAUCCAUUCAAGUUUAAUUGGAUUUGUUCCCAUUUCCCCACUCUUCCUUCCCUCACAUUCGUUCUUCUCUGGCGAGCAACAUUGAGGAAAAAUCACGACACCUGAAACAGAGAAAUCAACACCUUAAUCAGCAAGCUAGGGAGAUGUGGCAAACAUGGAAAAGUCCUGGUAUUAUUGCUUGUAGUACUUUGGUAGAAGGUCUUAGGACAUCUGGAAACAUAGAAGAUGAAUUGAGGCUCGAUGUCAAGAUGCUAAAAGAGGGUGUUCUGUUGGAUAGUGUGACUUUUAACUAUCUUCUUCAAGAUGAUACUCGCGUGGGAAGACCUGUUGAAGCUUAUAAAUUAAGGUUGUUGGCUUCUAGCAAAGGUUUAGAUGCUGAUGUUGUGACCUACAACAUAUUAGUUGCUGGAACGAAAUUUCUGUUAGUGAAAAUAAUUAUGUGGCUCCCUGACCAUAGAGCUUUGACAACUGUCACUACUCAUCAUCAUUGAUGAUAGACCUUCAAUGCGGCAAACUUUCUAAAUAAUGAGAACCCUUUAACAUGUUCUCAUCUAGUAUGAAGAAAGGGAUUGCACAGCAAGUGACAUUGGAAAAAAUUUCUGAAGGUCUCGGUGAGCUGUCAGCCUACUUUUCUGUAAGGCUCAAUACUCAUCAGGGGAUAACUGAUGGUCUGUUCAAGCCAGUGCCUGGAACUAAUCAAGAUGAUGGCAUGAUCAGGCUUGCAAGUUUUUAGAAGAAAAUUGGUUUCUGAAGUUUACACUGGUUGUUGCCCAGAAGAAUCAUCAUACGAAGUUUUUCCAGAAAAAAGCUCCAGACAAUGUUCCAACUGGCGAGU